AUGGCCAUGGCCGCCGCUGUCGCGCGCCGCUCGCGCCGCCUCCUCCGCCUGCUCUCCUCGCGCCCGAACCCUAAACCCGCCUCCCUCUCCUCCUGCUCCUCCCCUUCCCCCUCCUUCGACACUCCGGCCACCGCCGGCGAGCGCGAGGGCGACCCCCUCUCGUGGCGCCUCCUCCGCCUCCGGUCGCCGGGCGCGGCGGCCGCCGCCAUCGACGGGUGGGCCCAGGAGCGCGGCCGCGUCUCGCGGCCGGACCUCCAGCGUGCCGUCUCCCAGCUCCGCCGCGCGCGCCGCUACGGCCACGCCCUCGAGAUUUUAUCAUGGAUGGAGUCACGCAAAGAACUUAAACUAUUACCAUUGGAUCAUGCAGCUAGACUGGACUUGAUUGCGAAAGUGCACGGUACUUCUCAAGCUGAGGAAUAUUACAACAAAUUAAACUCUGCUUCAAGGGAAGCUGCCUCCUUCCCUCUCCUCCAUUGCUAUGUUGCUGACAGAAAUGUCCAGAAAGCAGAGUCCUUUAUGGCUAGUCUGCAGAGCAUUGGGCUACCUGUCGAUCCUCACUCCUUCAAUGAAAUGAUGAAACUCUAUGUUGCCACAUGUGAGUAUGAGAAGGUGUUCAGUGUCAUCGAUCUGAUGAAACGCAACAACAUUCCCAGGAAUGCUCUCUCAUAUAACCUUUGGAUGAACGCAUGUUCUGUCUCUGAUGUUUCGUCUGUACAAUCAGUCUUCAAGGAGAUGGUUAAUGAUGUUACGAUUGAGGUUGGUUGGAGCACAUACUGUACAUUGGCCAACAUCUUCAAGAAGCAUGAACUGAAUAGUAAAGCCCUGGCUUGCCUUAGGACGGCCGAAACAAAAUUAUCAACAACACAGCGCUUAGGAUAUUCUUUUGUAAUGACAUGUUACGCGGCUCUGGGUGACAGCGAUGGGGUUAUGAGAUUGUGGGAGGCUAGUAAAUGUGUCCCUGGUAGAAUCCCCGCUGCUAACUACAUGACUGCUAUUUUGUGUUUGAUAAAAGUCGGCGACUUUGACCGGGCUGAGUGGAUUUUUGGAAGCUGGGAAGCGGAGUGCAGGAAGCAUGAUGUGCGGGUUUCAAAUGUUCUUCUAGGUGCUUAUGUGAGGAACGGGUGGAUUGAAAAGGCUGAGAAGCUUCAUCUGCACAUGCUCGAGAAAGGUGCACGGCCAAACUACAAGACGUGGGAGAUAUUGAUGGAGGGAUUUGUUCAGAGUAGGCAGAUGGACAAGGCUGUCAAUGCCAUGAAGAAAGCUUUAUCUCUAAUGAAGAGCUGCCAUUGGAGACCUCCACUAAAACUGGUUGAGGCCAUCGCAGCAUUCUUCGAGGAGCAAGGAAACACGGAUGAUGCAAGCAGAUAUAUUAAGCUUCUUCAAAAGUUUAACCUGACAAGCUUGCCCCUGUACAAGUCUGUGCUUCGAGCAUAUAUUAAAGCUGAUACCGUGGUGCCAACAAACAUUUCCGAGAUGAUAGCAAGAGAUGACAUCGUUAUGGAUGAAGAAAUGGACCACUUGAUCAUACGUGCUAGCAAGAUAGAUAUCAGAGGCGAUGUGUAA
rnacentral:rRNA from 1 species